GUAGCUCAGAGGAUAGAGCAGCUCCCUGCUAAGGAGCGGGUCGCGGGUUCGAGUCCCGCCU
rnacentral:tRNA from 1 species